rnacentral:rRNA from 1 species
AGAGUUUGAUCCUGGCUCAGAUUGAACGCUGGCGGCAUGCUUUACACAUGCAAGUCGAACGGCAGCAUAGGUGCUUGCACCUGAUGGCGAGUGGCGGACGGGUGAGUAAUGCAUCGGGACGUGUCCGGAAGAGGGGGAUAACUGUUCGAAAGAACAGCUAAUACCGCAUAAUAUCCGAGGAAGAAAGCUGGGGACCUUAGGGCCUGGCGCUUACGGGGCGACCGAUGUCUGAUUAGCUAGUUGGUGGGGUAAAAGCCUACCAAGGCGACGAUCAGUAGCUGGUCUGAGAGGACGACCAGCCACACUGGGACUGAGAAACGGCCCAGACUCCUACGGGAGGCAGCAGUGGGGAAUUUUGGACAAUGGGGGCAACCCUGAUCCAGCAAUGCCGCGUGUCUGAAGAAGGCCUUCGGGUUGUAAAGGACUUUUGUUGGGGAGCAAGGUGCACAGGUUAAGAGCUAGUGUACUUGAGAGUACCCAAAGAAUAAGGACCGGCUAACUACGUGCCAGCAGCCGCGGUAAUACGUAGGGUCCAAGCGUUAAUCGGAAUUACUGGGCGUAAAGAGUGCGCAGGCGGCUUUGUAAGCUUGAUGUGAAAUCCCCGGGCUCAACCUGGGAACUGCAUUGAGGACUGCAAGGCUAGAGUGUAGCAGAGGGGGGUAGAAUUCCACGUGUAGCGGUGAAAUGCGUAGA